CUCUUCUGUCCACCUCUGCAGAUGGGGACUGAGCCUGAUAUGUCACAGUCUUGCUAUAAGAAGAAUUCUCAGAGAUGCGGAGGAGGGACACUCAGAAAUUUUCCAGCUUUAUAGAGCCUGCCUGUGGAAACCUAGAAGUCUUGCCUCUUCUUCAGCCAUUGGCCACUAGCAUCUUUAUUGAUUCAUCAAGAACCAAUUGGGGAAGAGGACCUUCAGCGUUCACACGUGGAUUCCCAAUCAAAGCAUCAGAACCACUCCCUACAAAGGUGCAUUAUAGAACAAUAUUUAUUAUGUUUACCUGAUAAAAUGAAACCUGUAGCCCAAUGUCUUAAAUACUUACAAAGUAAACUGUAUAGAUAAGAAAAUUUAUAAAUGUGUAAAAUAAAAGAUUACACAAGAGAAGACAA